rnacentral:rRNA from 2 species
CGAACCUGCGGAAGGAUCAUUGUCGA